GACGAACGCUGGCGGCGUGCUUAACACAUGCAAGUCGAACGGAAAGGCCCUGCUUUUGUGGGGUGCUCGAGUGGCGAACGGGUGAGUAACACGUGAGUAACCUGCCCUUGACUUUGGGAUAACUUCAGGCAACUGGGGCUAAUACCGGAUAGGCGCUCCUUCUGCAUAGUGGGGGUUGGAAAGUUUCGGCGGUUGGGGAUGGACUCGCGGCUUAUCAGCUUGUUGGUGGGGUAGUGGCUUACCAAGGCUUUGACGGGUAGCCGGCCUGAGAGGGUGGCCGGCCACAUUGGGACUGAGAUACGGCCCAGACUCCUAAGGGAGGCAGCAGUGGGGAAUAGUGCACAAUGGGCGGAAGCCUGAUGCAGCAACGCCGCGUGCGGGAUGACGGACUUCGGGUUGUAAACCGCUUUCGCCUGUGACGGAGCGUGAGUGAAGGUAAUGGGUAAAGAAGCACCGGCUAACUACGUG
rnacentral:rRNA from 1 species